GCAAACGUGAAAAACUUGCGGGAAAAACAAUGUCAUGUGGUCAUUCUUGCCGUUCGCAUUUCACGUAAACGCGGUGCUAAAUAUCUCUAUUGUUGUCGAAACCUACUCUUCUUAUCUCUAAAUCUCUGGGAUGUUAGAACGCGUAGCUUGAAGUUCACGCUCUCGUUCAUUACAUAAAAUAGCUUUUUCUCCUUUUUGUUUCCCUCAUUCUGCUUAGGUUUCUAACCUUUUCCUAGCUUUUAAAAAUGAAAAAAAAAAUCGUAAGUAACUAGUAAGUAUUCAUCUAACUAUCAAGUAUGAGAACUUUUAAAAAUUCAGUCUCAACUUGGGAGCUCAAGAUGCAAAUUUACACCAACCUCGUUCAAAAGGAUUCAUUCGAGAGGCUGAGUAUGCACGUGCAGAUUGAUCUUUCAUCUCAUUUACAUUUUGUGGUUCCUCAUGGUUUGCAAUGUUUCACCUCUCAGGGAGAUUGAACUGAAAAAGUUGUAAAGUAAUGAAGUCUGACUUCCAAAAUGUGGCUGAAAGCUUCAAGGAAGCGUCUGUGCUUGAAGAUUUGGCAUUGACUGAUAGCUCGCCAGAAAGUCUUGUACUUCAGUAACGCUGACGAGAUAAACAGCUUUGAAGAAAAUCACAAAAUAAAGCAAAGGAGUGGAUUGAAAGAAGCGAAAACAACGAAUUUAGCUCAGUUUAUUUUAUACCCUCGCCGAUAAGGAAGAGAAGAGAGACGACGAAAUCACACAGACAAAAUUUGUAGUGUUUAGACAUUUCGUUACUGUUAUAUAGAAUUAUCUAUGCGCUAAGAAUCAUGGUACUGUAACAUGGCGUGCUCGCUGGUGUAGAUUAAAGAAACCAUUGAGUUUAUCUGCACUUUUCUGGGUAUUAACAGGCUAUCAUUACAAAAUUUUUUUUCUUCGAGAAAGAAAGUUGAAAGCUAGUUUUAGAGGUAACAACUGUAAUUUAGCGCCGCUAAUCGUGUUCUAGUACAAAUUCGUGAAUUUAUUUAAUGCAAACUCAGAAAUUUGUUGUCAAGACAAAACAAAGCGAACAAUGUAGGCUAGUCAAGAUAAGAUAGUCUUGAAUUGACAAACAUUUGUUAAACAUUUUGUAUCUAAAAGCCAGCCUUUCUGGUAAAUUAAUUAGAUAUCAUUUUGUUAAGAAAAACAUCGGAAAUUUUCCAGAUUUUGAAGUUACUUUUUGUCGAUAAGAUGCGCAGUUGAUGAUCCCGUCAUGGAAACGGCGCAAUAUAAAUCCACAAUUUUAUUAUUUUAAGAGGCAUACUUCUUCAAUAAUUGUCAAAAAUUUUGACGGAUCUUUGAGACUUAAAAUUACAUUAUUACACUACUUUUUAAGUCCUGUCACAUAGUGAGAAGCUUUCCAUUAAAAUUUUUUUCGAUGUUUAUUAAUUUUUAGGUGUUUAAGUAGUCAGGCUUUAUUAAUAUUCUUGCAUGAUUAGCUGAGUUUUUGAGACUUUUUGUUUUGAAUUUGUGAUUUAGAUGACAUCGAUCAGUAUUUCUUAUCAGCUAAAAGGGUUAGACUUAUCUAAUUUCUGCUGUUUAUAUUUUGUAAAUCUGCAAUUUCCUUGGCAAAUUUCUCGACAAAGUUUACUGUAAAAGGUAAAAGUUGGACUUGCACACAUGAUUUAUCCUGUUUGCCAGCUUGUGCUUA
rnacentral:lncRNA from 1 species